UUAAGCUAAGAAGAGCGUAGGGAGAAUGCCUUGGCAUUAGGAGCCGACGAAGGACGUGAUAAGCUGCGAUAAGCUGCGGGGAUCAGCAAGUAUGAAUUGAUCCGCAGAUUUCCGAAUGGAGCAAUCCGUAUGUGUAUGCACAUACAUCAUAUACUGAAUCAAAUAGGUAUAUGAGGGGAACCGCCUGAACUGAAACAUCUAAGUAGGGCGAGGAAGAGAAAUCAACCGAGAUUCUGUGAGUAGUGGCGAGCGAAAGCGGAAGAGGCUAAACCAUAGGUAGCAAUACUUAUGGGGUUUCGGACAGCAUUUAGUAUUGAUAAUUUCUAGUUGAAACGUGUGGGAAAACGUACCGAAGAGUGUGAGAGUCACGUAAGCGAAAGAGAGAAUCAGCGAGCUGUAUCCAAAGUACCGCGGGACACGUGAAACCCCGUGGGAAGAUGGGGGGACCAUCCUCCAAGCCUAAAUACUACCUAAUGACCGAUAGCGAAUAGUACUGUGAAGGAACGGUGAAAAGAACCCCGGGAGGGGAGUGAAAAAGAACCUGAAACCCUAUGCUUACAAGCACCGAGAGCACGUCAAAGUGUGAUCGGGUACCUUUUGUAGAAUGGUCCGGCGAGUUAUUGUAUGCGGCAAGGUUAAGUGCUUAAGGCACGGAGCCGAAGCGAGAGCAAGUCUGAAUAGGGCGAAAAAGUCGUAUGCAAUAGACCCGAAACCGAGUGACCUAUCCAUGUCCAGGCUGAAGUGGAGGUAAAACUCCAUGGAGGGCCGAACACACGUCCGUUGAAAAGGCCGGUGAUGAGGUGUGGAUAGCGGAGAAAUUCCAAUCGAACUCGGAUAUAGCUGGUUCUCUCCGAAAUAGCUUUAGGGCUAGCCUCGUGAAAGAUUACUGGAGGUAAAGCACUGAAUGGGCUAGGGGUCGAAAGAUUACUGAACCCUAUCAAACUAAGAAUGCCAGAUAAUUGAUUCACGGGAGUCAGACAAUGUGAGAUAAGUCUCAUUGUCAAAAGGGAAACAGCCCAGACCCACAGCUAAGGUCCCUAAACAUUGUUAAGUGGAAAAGGAUGUGGGGUUGCAUAAACAACCAGGAUGUUGGCUUAGAAGCAGCCACUCAUUAAAAGAGUGCGUAAUAGCUCACUGGUCGAGUGACCCUGCGCCGAAAAUUCAACGGGGCUAAACAAUGUACCGAAGCUUGGGAUUCUAAAGUAAUUUAGAGUGGUAGGAGAGCGUCGAAUAAGGGGUGAAGUCAGAGCGGAAGCGCUGGUGGACUUUAUUCGAGUGAGAAUGCCGGAAUGAGUAGCGAGAAUUAUGUGAGAAUCAUAAUGGCCGAAAAUCUAAGGUUUCCUGAGGAAGGUUCGUCCGCUCAGGGUAAGCCGGGGGCUAAGGCGAGGCGGAGACGCGUAGCCGAUGCACAUACGGUUGAAAUUCCGUAGCCACCGAAAGAUUUAAGUACAGGGACGCUUUAGAAGUGAUGUUGCCGGGCGAUGGUUGACCCGGUCGUAAGGGAUCGAAAAUGAGUAGAGAAGUCAUCAUGGAAAGAGACAAGAAAAGCUGUAUGAAUAUCUUAGGUGCCCGUACCGCAAACCGACACAGGUAGAUAGGAAGAAGAUUCUAAGGCCAACGGGAGAAGGGUUGUUAAGGAACUCGGCAAGUUGACCCCGUAACUUAGGGAUAAGGGGUGCUCAAGUGAUUGAGCCGCAGAGAAUAGGCCCAGGCGACUGUUUAGCAAAAACACAGGUCUCUGCUAAAUCGAAAGAUGACGUAUAGGGGCUGACACCUGCCCGGUGCCGGAAGGUUAAGAGGAGAUGUGAGAGCAUUGAAUUGAAGCCCCGGUAAACGGCGGCCGUAACUAUAACGGUCCUAAGGUAGCGAAAUUCCUUGUCAGGUAA
rnacentral:rRNA from 1 species